rnacentral:lncRNA from 1 species
UUACUCUCUUACUCAAAAAGAAGUUCUAGUACCCUGUUGGAGCCUCUAUCCUGGAUACAAGAUGAGAUUGAGACAGUUGAGGUACAGGUUCUAUAUGGUUGUAUGGUCGUAUGUUUACAGUGUGAACUAUUCACUCCACAUAAAGGCAGGAUUGAAGCUCCUACAGAACAUGGGUUAAUUGCUAAAGACGAUAUGGUUCCAAUCUGUAGUACUCCAUUUAAAAAAACACUGCUCCUAGAUGGCAGACAACCGUCAAAACAUUAAUCCUGCUUUUCUCAGUCUGUCAACUGAAUCAAAUGAGGUGCACUACCCAAAAGAAGCAUCCCAGAAGCAUCUGAGGGCUUCUAAGCUCUGCCUAAGAUAUAACUGCAUGUUUUUCUGUCAAAUCUUUCUGUCAGUCUUUCUAUUCCAUCCCCUGUUUGUUUGAUGUUGCUCUAACAAGAGGUCUCUUAAGUUGUUUAAAUUAUCUUCUGUCGUUAUUUCUUGAUAUUUUGAUUUCUCUCUAAAGGUCCAUCAGAAAUUAUGUCAAUUAUGUCAAACACAAUUAUGUGUUUCCACAGCAGGAAGUCUGAAUCUUUUACACCCGUUAAAUUCACCUUCCCCAGAGAGGGAGGAGCCACACUGGGCUACAAAGUCUGCAGUGCUGUCACACUGCUGUCUUCUGGACUUAGUCUUUCACGGCUCUGCCUGUCUUUGAGGUAAAGAGAGAAAAGAAAAAAGGAAAACAAUGGAGAGGUGGAGGAAUGUUUUCUACGAGGCUCUAAACAACAGCACUUCCCGACACUCCAGACUGAAGAGCAGAAUUCAAUUUCAGGCCCAGGAGACGGAGAGGCUGAUGAGACAACACUUUGAGACAUUGCACCAGUUUCUGAAAGAGGAAGAGGAAAACAGGGUUGCUGCUCUAAAGGACGAAGAGCAUAGAAAAAUGCAAGAACUGGAAACAAGUGUAGAACAACGAAUACAGGCCGUCUUGUUCAGAGCGAGAGAAGUGGAAGGUGAUUUGGGGGAUAAUGGAGCCACAUUCCAGAAGGAUUUAGGCUCAGUGCAGCAGAGGUAAAACAUUUUUUAAAUCUACACCAUAC